GAUAGAUUUGAGUUGGCCUGACGGAGAGAUCUUCCAGGCGACUCCGGCCCAUGGAGGAUGCAGAGCAUCACAUCAGAUCAAACAUUGAUAAACCAGUACUUUACCAGCGUUUUAUCAAUAUCUUUAAAGGACGGGGAGUUUUUGCCACUGAAUUCAUAUCCAAAGGAGACUUUGUUGUGGAGUACCGAGGUGAACUGCUUACACAACAGGAGGGCGAGGUCCGAGCUGAUCAGUACAAUGAUUCUGCAAAGGUGUUUCUUUUCGAUUUCCAAUGGAAAGGAAGAACAUGGUGCAUUGAUGCAUCUGAAGAAGACUCCUCCCUUGGGAGACUCGUUAAUGAUGAUCACUAAAGACUCAAUCUCAAAAUGAAGGCCAUACAAGCAAACGAUGAGCCACACUUGUACCUCUUCGCG